rnacentral:misc_RNA from 1 species
ACCAAAAAAAAAAAAAAAAAUCAGACUGGCCUUUGCAUGGUUCUGAAUCCUAAAGACAACAUCCCUGGUGUUGGUGCAUCCCAUGAAAAUGAAAAUGUGCCUCUACUGUUGUAACCAGACAAACAAAAAAUGAUCACUUGCAGUCUAUACCACAACUCAAUCGUGAAGGAGCCAUUAUAGAAUUUUUGCCAUCAUCAGAAAUAAUAGUUUCAAAUUUGAUAGAAUGAUAAAAAGAUUGCUGGCUAAGGCUUUUGCAUAGACUAGAUUUUUCUCACUUUUAUAAGACCAGUUUUCCUUUCAUGAGCGUGGAACUUGUACUGCCAAUCUCCAGAAAACUCGCCACAUCUUGGGUUAAAGGUCAUUCAAUUUAAUGGAGAAGCCUCUACAAAAGCUUCAGUCCACCUGUCACAUCAUCAACCACCUCAACAGGUCCUGCACAUAUCAAUGGAAAAACAAUGUGGAGAUAAAAAUGUAAAUCUCAAAACCUUCAUUUUGUUGUUUUUAUUAUCUCCACUUUUGCCACAUGAUAAAAGAUACUCAGCACACACUGAACUGAACAGUGCAUGCAUAAAAACGUUCUAUUUAGUUUGCAAAUCAUUUGAGAAGUUACAUUUUGUUAUUUUUGUAAAAACUGAAGCAUACAGUUUUUUCAUGGAAUUAAGGGAUUUUUACAAUCAGAUCAGACAGCUCACAAGGUACACGCUGCUAGAAUAGAGAAACUUACCAAGAAUAGCCAUCACUGUUCUUGAAUUUGGUGCAAUCUGUGUUCUCCCAGCAUCAAUGGUUACAUGAGUUGGCAAUUUAAGUGAUUUUGCCCUCUCUUGCAAAAUAAGCAUAUCCUCCUCGCUUUCAAUUUUCACAACCACCUUUGGCUGUGCACACAUCUCCCACCUGUUUAACGCUUUAGGUGCCCGAUGAAGGAGCUUCUUAUAUAGGCCCAAAGUUGCAUGGCUGCAUUGGGCGGCGAUUUUUCCUUUCCCCAUCUUAAGAUCAUUUCUGACAACCAAAACCAUUUUGAAAUCAUCAAGAAUAUCAGCGAGCUUCUCAACGUCAAAGGGUUCUUUGGACUUAUUUUUCUUGCUUCCACUACCAAAGAGAGUGUCAUCUUUAGCUACUUUGGCUCGAAGAAAGAUGAAAGCAGGACGGCGAGAACCAAUACAGUAACCCAAAGCAAGGCAGCCUGCCCCAACUAAUAUGGCGCUAAGCCACCUCAAAUCCAUCAAUUCAAUUCAAACCCAGAUAAGAUUCAGUGAUUUCAGAUGUGACAGCGAAAGGAGAAAUAACUACUUAAAAAUAGAAUUAGUAGCAGAUGAUCGAGAUGGGUUCUCCUUCAACUUGAAGAGAGGAAACCUAGCAGAAAUUAUUGGCGGAAAAAGCAGACCUUUCGUCUCAUUCAUUCCCUUUCUCUUCCUAAGAACCCUUGCUGCGGAGUGGAGCUACAACUCAAUUCCAAU